rfam:Ricinus communis cultivar Hale ctg_1100012297634, whole genome shotgun sequence.
GGUUGCGAUCAUACCAGCACUAAUGCACCGGAUCCCAUCAGAACUCCGAAGUUAAACGUGCUUGGGCGAGAGUAGUACUAAGAUGGGUGACCUCUUGGGAAGUCCUCGUGUUGCACCCC